rnacentral:rRNA from 1 species
UCCGUAGGCGGUGCGGCAAGUCGGAAGUGAAAUCUCUGGGCUUAACUCAGAGGCUGCUUCCGAAACUGCCGUGCUCGAGUGUGAGAGAGGCGAGUGGAAUUACGGGUGUAGCGGUGAAAUGCGUAGAUAUCCGUAGGAACAUCCGAGGCGAAAGCGGCUCGCUGGAUCACAACUGACGCUGAGGGACGAAAGCUAGGGGAGCAAACAGGAUUAGAUACCCUGGUAGUCCUAGCCCUAAACCAUCAGGACUUGGGGUUUGCCCUGUACGGGGCAAGUCCCGGAGCUAACGCGUUAAGUCCUGCGCCUGGGGAGUACGGCCGCAAGGCUGAA